rnacentral:tRNA from 1 species
GGUCAGGUAGCUUAGUGGUAUAGAGUAGUCGCUCGGCAAGCGAAAGACCAGGGUUCGAUUCCCGGCGUAGCGA